UGUAUCCUACGGGAGGCAGCAGUGAGGAAUAUUGGUCAAUGGGAGAGAUCCUGAACCAGCCAAGCCGCGUGAGGGAAGACGGCCCUAUGGGUUGUAAACCUCUUUUGUCGGAGAACAAAACCCGGGACGUGUCCCGGACCGCGCGUAUCCGAAGAAAAAGCAUCGGCUAACUCCGUGCCAGCAGCCGCGGUAAUACGGAGGAUGCGAGCGUUAUCCGGAUUUAUUGGGUUUAAAGGGUGCGUAGGCGGUCCGUUAAGUCAGCGGUAAAAUUACGGGGCUCAACCUCGUCGAGCCGUUGAAACUGG
rnacentral:rRNA from 1 species